CAAGGAGUUGUAGAAGGCCUAGAGGACAGUGAUUAGACCAUUUGGAGAGGAAGGGAAAGGAGAAAGAGAUAGAAACAUCAAUGAGGAGAGAGAAUCAUCUAUUGGCUGCCUCCUGUGUGCGCCACACUGGGGAUCAAGCCCACAUCCCAGGGUUUUCUACUUAUAAGAUUAUAUCAUCUGCAAAUAGAGAUAAUUUUACAUUAUCCUUUGGAUGCCUCUAUUUCUUUUUCUUGCCAAAUUGCUCUGGCUAGGAGAACCAAGAUGGCAGCAUAAAGAAUAAUAGAGAAUAAUAUACAGAGAGUCAACAGUAGACUAGAGGAUCCCAAGAAUCAAGUCAAAGAUUUGAAAUACGAGGAAGCAAAAAACACCCAACCGGAAAAGAAAAAAGAAAAAAUAAUUCAAAAAUAUGAAGAUAGUGUAAGGAGCCUCUGGGACAACUUCAAGCGUACCAACAUCCGAAUUAUGGGGGUGCCAGAAGAAGAAAGAGAGCAAGAUAUUGAAAACCUAUUUGAAGAAAUAAUGACAGAAAUCUUCCCCUACCUGGUGAAAGAAAUAGACUUACAAGUCCAGGAAGCACAAAGAUCCCCAAACAAAAGGAAUCCAAAGAGAACCACCCCAAGACACAUCAUAAUUAAAAUGCCAAGGGAAAAAAACAAAGAGAGAAUCCAAAAAGCAGCAAGAGAAAAACAGUUAUGUACAAGGGAGUACCCAUAUGACUGUCAGCUGAUUUCUCAACAGAAGCUAUGCAGGCCAGAAGGGGGUGGCCCUAACCAGUUUGGCUCAGUGGAUAGAGCUUCGGCCUGCAGACUUAGGGUCCCAGGUUUGAUUCCUGUCAAGGGCAUGUGCCUUGGUUGUGGGCACAUCCCCAGUAGAAGGUGUGGCAGGAGGCAGCUGAUCGAUGUUUCUCUCUCAUUGAUGUUUCUAGCUCUCUAUCCCUUUCCCUUCCUCUCUGUAAGAAAUCAAUAAAAAAUAUAUAUCUAAAAAAAAAAGAAAUAUUCAAAGUGAUGAAUAGUAAGAACCUACAACCAAGAUUACUCUGCCCAGCAAAACUAUCAUUUAGAAUUGAAGUUCAGAUAAAUAGCUUCACAGACAAGAAAAAGCUAAAGGGGUUCAUUACCACCAAACCAGUAUUAUAUGAAAUGCUGAAGGGUAUUCUUUAAGAAGAGGAACAGGAAGGAAAAGGUAAAGAUAAAAAAUUAUGAACAAAGUGACAACAAAUACAUAUCAACAAGUGAAUCUAAAAAUCAAACAAAUAAAAAAUCUGAUGAACAGAAUAAACUGGUGAAUGUAAUAGAAUCAGGGGCAUGGAAAGGGAGCGGAUUGACAAUUCUCAGGGGGAAGAGGGCGUAGGGGUGUGUGGGAAGAGUUGGACAAAGAUCUUACACCUAUG